CUCCUACGGGAGGCAGCAGUAGGGAAUAUUGGACAAUGGGGGCAACCCUGAUCCAGCCAUGCCGCGUGAGUGAAGAAGGCCCUCGGGUUGUAAAGCUCUUUUGUCCGGAAAGAAAAGCAUCUGGUUAAUACCCGGGUGUUCUGACGGUACCGGAAGAAUAAGCACCGGCUAACUUCGUGCCAGCAGCCGCGGUAAUACGAAGGGUGCAAGCGUUACUCGGAAUUACUGGGCGUAAAGCGUGCGUAGGUGGUUCGUUAAGUCUGAUGUGAAAGCCCUGGGCUCAACCUGGGAAUGGCAUUGGAUACUGGCGGGCUAGAGUGCGGUAGAGGGUAGUGGAAUUCCCGGUGUAGCAGUGAAAUGCGUAGAGAUCGGGAGGAACAUCUGUGGCGAAGGCGACUGCCUGGACCAGCACUGACACUGAGGCACGAAAGCGUGGGGAGCAAACAGGAUUAGAUACCCUGGUAGUCCACGCCCUAAACGAUGCGAACUGGAUGUUGGGUUCAACUUGGAACUCAGUAUCGAAGCUAACGCGUUAA
rnacentral:rRNA from 1 species